CACCAUAUAACAACAUCGAAAUAAAAUAUACAACACAAACCUAUGACGAUCAUCAACCAACCCAGAGGACAAAACAAAUCUACUCAAACAUCAUAGAAUAGCAACACAUCAUUGGAUAAUGUGUCUUUCACAUUUGUGCCCCUUACUCAAACACACUACUCACAUUUGACCCUAAUUUUGAACCAUGCUCAAAUUUGCCCCUCUUCUAUUAAGUGCG
rnacentral:lncRNA from 1 species